rnacentral:rRNA from 1 species
GAUGAACGCUGGCGGCGUGCCUAAUACAUGCAAGUCGAGCGAACAGACGAGGAGCUUUCUCCUCUGACGUUAUCGGCGGACGGGUGCGUAACACGUGGAUAACCUACCUCUAAGACUGGGAUAACUUCGGGAAACCGUAGCUAAUACCGGAUAAUAUAUUGAACCGCAUGGUUCAAUAGUUAAAGACGGUUUUGCUGUCACUUAUAGAUUGAUCCGCGCCCCAUUAGCUAGUUGGUAAGGUAACGGCUUACCAAGGCAACGAUGCGUAGCCGACCUGAGAGGGUCGAUGGCCACACUGGAACUGAGACACGGCCCAGACUCCUACGGGAGGAAGCAGUAGGGAAUCUUCCGCAAAGGGCGAAAGCCUGACGGAGCAAAGCCGCGUGAGUGAUGAAGGUCUUCGGAUCGGAAAACGCUGUUAGUAGGGAAGAACAAAUGUGUAAGUAACUAUGCACGUCUUGACGGUACCUAAUCAGAAAGCCACGGCUAACUACGUG